ACGAACGCUGGCGGCGUGGAUAAGACAUGCAAGUCGAACGCGGACUUUUCUAGGUAGCAAUAUUCGGGAAAGUCUUAGUGGCGCAAGGGUGCGCUAACACGUGGGUAAUCUGCCUUAAAGCCUGGGGAUAGCUCGGCUGAAAGGCGAAUCUAAUACCGCAUGUGAUUUGGGCAGGACAUCUCCUGGAUCAUUAAAGUUGGGGACCGCAAGCCUGGACACUUUACGAUGAGCCCGCGGCCUAUCAGCUAGUUGGUGAGGGUAACGGCUCACCAAGGCGGUAGACGGGUAGCUGGUCUGAGAGGACGACCAGCCACACUGGAACUGAGACACGGUCCAGACACCUACGGGUGGCAGCAGUCGAGAAUUUUUCUCAAUGGGGCGAAAGCCCUGAUGGAGCGACGCCGCGUGGAGGGAUGAAUGGCUUUCGGGCCUGUAAACUCCUGUCAUCUGGGAACAAUGCUCACCGAGUAACUAGCCGGUAAUGGUUGAUAGUACCAGAAGAGGAAGGAGACGGCUAACUCUGUGCCAGCAGCCGCGGUAAUACAGAGGUCUCCAGCGUUGUUCGGAUUCACUGGGCGUAAAGGGUGCGUAGGUGGUGAGGUAAGUCAGGAUGUGAAAUCCGGCAGCUCAACUGCGGAACUGCAUCUGAUACUAGGCGUGCUUGAGGACUUGGAGGGGAGACUGGAAUUCAUCGGUGUAGCAGUGAAAUGCGUAGAGAUCAUGAGGAAGCACCAGUGGCGAAGGCGGGUCUCUGGAACAGUCCUGACACUGAGGCACGAAGGCCAAGGGAGCAAACGGAUUAGAUACCCCUGGUAGUCCUAGGCAGUAAACGGUGCACGUUUGGCUGUGGAGUGAUUCGACCCCUCCGGCGGCGGAGCCUAACGCGUUAAACGUGCCGCCUGGGGAAGUACGGUCGCAAGAUUAAAACUCAAAGAAAUUGACGGGGCCCUGCACAAGCGGUGGUGGAGUAUGUGGCUUAAUUCGAUGCAACGCGAAGAACCUUACCUGGCCUUGACAUGUAUCUCUAAGUAGAGGGGUGAAAGCCUGACGAGGUAGCAAUACCAGCGUACACAGGUGCUGCAUGGCUGUCGUCAGCUCGUGUCGUGAGAUGUUGGGUUAAGUCCCGCAACGAGCGCAACCCUUGUGUCCUGUUGCCACCCAGCCGAGAGGUUGGAGCACUCUGGACAGACUGCCUCAUUUAAAUGAGGAGGAAGGUGGGGAUGACGUCAAGUCAGUAUGGCCCUUACGGCCAGGGCUGCACACGUACUACAAUGCCCGGCACAGAGGGAAGCAAGACCGUCAGGUGGAGCAAAUCCCAGAAAACCGGGUCCAGUUCAGAUUGUCGUCUGCAACUCGACGGCAUGAAGCCGGAAUCGCUAGUAAUGGCGCAUCAGCUACGGCGCCGUGAAUACGUUCCCAGGCCUUGUACACACCGCCCGUCACAUCAUGAAAGCCGUUUGUACCCGAAGUCCAUGUGCCAGCCGCAAGGAGGCAGUGGCCGAAGGUAUGAGUGGUGAUUGGGAUG
rnacentral:rRNA from 1 species